AUUGAACGCCGGCGGCAGGCUUAACACAUGCAAGUCGAGCGGGGGAAGGUAGCUUGCUACCGGACCUAGCGGCGGACGGGUGAGUAAUGCUUAGGAAUCUGCCUAUUAGUGGGGGACAACAUCUCGAAAGGGAUGCUAAUACCGCAUACGUCCUACGGGAGAAAGCAGGGGAUCUUCGGACCUUGCGCUAAUAGAUGAGCCUAAGUCGGAUUAGCUAGUUGGUGGGGUAAAGGCCUACCAAGGCGACGAUCUGUAGCGGGUCUGAGAGGAUGAGCCGCACACUGGGACUGAGACACGGCCCAGACUCCUGCGGGAGGCAGCAGUGGGGAAUAUUGGAAAAUGGGGGGAACCCUGAUCCAGCCAUGCCGCGUGUGUGAAGAAGGCCUUAUGGUUGUAAAGCACUUUAAGCGAGGAGGAGGCUACUCUAGUUAAUACCUAGGGAUAGUGGACGUUACUCGCAGAAUAAGCACCGGCUAACUCUGUGCCAGCCGCCGCCGUAA
rnacentral:rRNA from 1 species